rnacentral:rRNA from 1 species
ACUCCUACGGGAGGCAGCAGUGAGGAAUAUUGGGCAAUGGAGGCAACUCUGACCCAGCCAUGCCGCGUGCAGGAAUAAGGUCCUAUGGAUUGUAAACUGCUUUUAUACAGGAAGAAACCUCUCUACGUGUAGGGACUUGACGGUACUGUAUGAAUAAGCACCGGCUAACUCCGUGCCAGCAGCCGCGGUAAUACGGGGGGUGCAAGCGUUAAUCGGAGUUAUUGGGCGUAAAGGGUGCGUAGGUUGUUAUUUAAGUCAUGUGGGAAAUACCUGGGCUCAACCUGGGAAUGACGGAUGAUACUGAAUGACUAGAGUAUAGUAGAGGGUAGUGGAAUUUCCGGUGUAGCGGUGAAAUGCGUAGAGAUCGGAAGGAACACCAGUGGCGAAGGCGGCUACCUGGACUAAUACUGACACUGAGGCACGAAAGCGUGGGUAGCAAACAGGAUUAGAUACCCUGGUAGGUCAGU